UACGUAGGGACCGAGCGUUGUCCGGAUUUAUUGGGCGUAAAGAGCGCGUAGGCGGCUAUCCACGUCGGAUGUGAAAGCUCAGGGCUCAACCCUGAGAGGCCAUUCGAUACGGGAUAGCUAGAGGUAGCUAGGGGAGAGUGGAAUUCCUGGUGUAGCGGUGAAAUGCGCAGAUAUCGGGAGGAACACCUAUGGCGAAGGCAGCUCGCUGGGACGUUACUGACGCUGAGACGCGAAAGCGUGGGGAGCAAACAGG
rnacentral:rRNA from 1 species